UAAGUCAAUGUGAAAGCCCGGGGCUCAACCUCGGAAUAGCAUUUGAAACUGGUCAUCUAGAGUACUGUAGAGGGGGGUAGAAUUUCAGGUGUAGCGGUGAAAUGCGUAGAGAUCUGGAGGAAUACCGAUGGCGAAGGCAGCCAUCUGGCCUAAUACUGACGCUGAGGUACGAAAGCAUGGGGAGCAAACAGGAUUAGAUACCCUGGUAGUCCAUGCCGUAAACGAUGUCUACUAGCCGUUGGGGCCUUUGAGGCUUUAGUGGCGCAGCUAACGCGAUAAGUAGACCGCCUGGGGAGUACGGUCGCAAGACUAAAACUCAAAUGAAUUGACGGGGGCCCGCACAAGCGGUGGAGCAUGUGGUUUAAUU
rnacentral:rRNA from 1 species